GUUUCAGAGACCUCUGAGAAAACUACUGUUUCUGGGAGCUCUGAAAAAACUACUGAUAUUCUUCAGAAAAAAAUUGAAAAGUAUAAGCAGGAAAAA